GAUGAACGCUGACGGCGUGCCUAAUACAUGCAAGUCGAGCGAACGGACGAGAAGCUUGCCUCUCUGAUGUUAGCGGCGGACGGGUGAGUAACACGUGGAUAACCUACCUAUAAGACUGGGAUAACUUCGGGAAACCGGAGCUAAUACCGGAUAAUAUUUUGAACCGCAUGGUUCAAAAGUGAAAGACGGUCUUGCUGUCACUUAUAGAUGGAUCCGCGCUGCAUUAGCUAGUUGGUAAGGUAACGGCUUACCAAGGCAACGAUGCAUAGCCGACCUGAGAGGGUGAUCGGCCACACUGGAACUGAGACACGGUCCAGACUCCUACGGGAGGCAGCAGUAGGGAAUCUUCCGCAAUGGGCGAAAGCCUGACGGAGCAACGCCGCGUGAGUGAUGAAGGUCUUCGGAUCGUAAAACUCUGUUAUUAGGGAAGAACAUAUGUGUAAGUAACUGUGCACAUCUUGACGGUACCUAAUCAGAAAGCCACGGCUAACUACGUG
rnacentral:rRNA from 1 species